rnacentral:siRNA from 1 species
CAUCCUUUACACGAGACAAUUGU